rnacentral:rRNA from 1 species
GUUGUAAGGUUAAGAAAUUAAGCGUACACGGUGGAUGCCUAGGCAAUCAGAGGCGAAGAAGGACGUGUUAAUCUGCGAAAAGCGACGGUGAGCCGAUAAAAGGCGCUAUAGCCGUUGAUGUCCGAAUGGGGAAACCCAGUGUAGGUGACUACACUAUCAUAUAAUGAAUUCAUAGUUAUAUGAGGCGAACCGGGAGAACUGAAACAUCUAAGUACCCCGAGGAAAAGAAAUCAACCGAGAUUCCCUAAGUAGCGGCGAGCGAAAGGGGAGGAGCCCAAGCGGGUAGCAUGAUGUAUUAGUGGAAGCGUCUGGAAAGUCGCACGAUAGAGGGUGAAAGUCCCGUACAUGAAAAUGCAUGAUGUGGAAGCUUAUAGAGUAGGGCGGGACACGUGAUAUCCUGUCUGAAGAAGGGGGGACCAUCCUCCAAGGCUAAAUACUCCUGAUUGACCGAUAGUGAACCAGUACCGUGAGGGAAAGGCGAAAAGAACCCCGGGAGGGGAGUGAAAUAGACCCUGAAACCGUGUACGUACAAUCAGUGGGAGCUGUUACCGUUGGGUAAUAGUGACUGCGUACCUUUUGUAUAAUGGGUCAGCGACUUAUAUUCUGUAGCGAGGUUAACCGAAUAGGGGAGCCGAAGGGAAACCGAGUAUUAACUGUGCGUUAAGUUGCAGGGUAUAGACCCGAAACCCGGUGAUCUAGCCAUGGGCAGGUUGAAGGUUGGUUAACACUAACUGGAGGACCGAACCGACUAAUGUUGAAAAAUUAGCGGAUGACCUGUGGCUGGGGGUGAAAGGCCAAUCAAACCGGGAGAUAGCUGGUUCUCCCCGAAAGCUAUUUAGGUAGCGCCUCAUGAGUAACUGUUGGGGGUAGAGCACUGUUUCGGCUAGGGGGCCAUCCCGGCUUACCAACCCGAUGCAAACUCCGAAUACUGACAAGUUUAAUCAUGGGAGACACACGGCGGGUGCUAACGUUCGUCGUGAAGAGGGAAACAACCCAGACCGCCAGCUAAGGUCCCAAAGUCAUAGUUAAGUGGGAAACGAAGUGGGAAGGCUUAGACAGCUAGGAUGUUGGCUUAGAAGCAGCCAUCAUUUAAAGAAAGCGUAAUAGCUCACUAGUCGAGUCGGCCUGCGCGGAAGAUGUAACGGG